rnacentral:rRNA from 1 species
UAGGGAAUCUUCGGCAAUGGGCGAAAGUCUGACCGAGCAACGCCGCGUGAGUGAAGAAGGUUUUCGGAUCGUAAAACUCUGUUGGUAGAGAAGAACGUUGGUGAGAGUGGAAAGCUCAUCAAGUGACGGUAACUACCCAGGAAGGGACGGCUAACUACGUGCCAG